AAACAAAUAUAUGAAGCUCUAUGUCCUCACAUCCCAGAAAGUCAUCUUAAAUUUUGAAGUCAAGUGUCCUAAAGGACAGAACUAGAACACACCGAGCUAGCAAGGCCUUCACUGUCAAGCUGCAAAUGAACAAGGUUGACAUCUCCCUGAAUAUCUGGAAUGCAAGCAAAAAUGACAGAAUUACAUAUGACGAAAAAAAUCUGUACAUACAAGAUCUUCAUCCCUGUUUUGCAGGCAUACUUUAAGUUGUUUGGAUAAAGAUCAAAAAAGGAGCCAUACCUACAGAUGCAGGCCAUACUUUGGAGCCAUGUAAUGCAACAAGAAUCCGGUGUCUAGAAACCAUGACCUGGGAAAGGAUUGUCAGCCUGCAGAAGGAAAAAGACAGGGCAGUCUUCAAACACUUGAAGGGCAGCUGCAAAGAAGCAGUCAACUCCAACCAAAAAAAAAGAUCAGCAAAUCUGAAAAUGUGGGAGCAGAAUAAGAAUACAGCAAAGAAUGGUAAGAAUGGAAAAGCUAAGAUGCUAUCCAAAUUUGAUUGUUAAAGCCUUUUUGCCACAGAAAACUCUGCUAAUUACUAUUCUUUACCGAGGCUUCAUUAGUUAAAUUUCAAUUGUUAUACCUGUGAAAUCAAUUAUGUAACCUGUAAAUCUGAAUUACAUUGUUAUUUCAGAUAACGUAAUGUGUGAUCAUCUUCUAAUGCCUCAAAUCAGUGAAACAUUUUUUCUAAUUUUUCAGUUGAUCAGAGCUGAAGACACUUUGAAUAUAGUGUACUAUUGAUACAUUUUAAUAUAACUGAA